rnacentral:rRNA from 1 species
GGACCCGCACAAGCGGUGGAGCGUGUUCUUUAAUUCGAGGCUAAGCGAAGAACCUUACCCAGGUUUGACAUCCCGAGAAUUUCUCCGAAAGGAGAGAGUGCUUUAUUGAAUUCGGUGACAGAUGAUGCAUGGCCGUCGUCAGCUCGUGUCGUGAGAUGUUUGGUUAAGUCCAUCAACGAGCGCAACCCUUACUGUUAGCUGUAUUUUUCUAGCAGGACUGCCCCCGGUAACGGGGAGGAAGGAGGGGAUGAUGUCAGGUCAGUAUUUCUCUUACAUCUGGGGCUAGAAACACGCUACAAUGGCCGGUACAACGGGCAGCUAAGCAGUAAUGCGGAGCAAAUCCCAUCAAAACCGGUCCCAGUUCGGACUGAGGGCUGAAACUCGCCCUCACGAAGUCGGAAUCGCUAGUAAUCGCAGAUCAGCACGCUG